GAUGAACGCUAGCUACAGGCUUAACACAUGCAAGUCGAGGGGCAGCAUGGUCUUAGCUUGCUAAGGCCGAUGGCGACCGGCGCACGGGUGAGUAACACGUAUCCAACCUGCCGUCUACUCUUGGACAGCCUUCUGAAAGGAAGAUUAAUACAAGAUGGCAUCAUGAGUCCGCAUGUUCACAUGAUUAAAGGUAUUCCGGUAGACGAUGGGGAUGCGUUCCAUUAGAUAGUAGGCGGGGUAACGGCCCACCUAGUCUUCGAUGGGUAGGGGUUCUGAGAGGAAGGUCCCCCACAUUGGAACUGAGACACGGUCCAAACUCCUACGGGAGGCAGCAGUGAGGAAUAUUGGUCAAUGGGCGAGAGCCUGAACCAGCCAAGUAGCGUGAAGGAUGACUGCCCUAUGGGUUGUAAACUUCUUUUAUAAAGGAAUAAAGUCGGGUAUGGAUACCCGUUUGCAUGUACUUUAUGAAUAAGGAUCGGCUAACUCCGUGCCAGCAGCCGCGGUAAUACGGAGGAUCCGAGCGUUAUCCGGAUUUAUUGGGUUUAAAGGGAGCGUAGAUGGAUGUUUAAGUCAGUUGUGAAAGUUUGCGGCUCAACCGUAAAAUUGCAGUUGAUACUGGAUAUCUUGAGUGCAGUUGAGGCAGGCGGAAUUCGUGGUGUAGCGGUGAAAUGCUUAGAUAUCACGAAGAACUCCGAUUGCGAAGGCAGCCUGCUAAGCUGCAACUGACAUUGAGGCUCGAAAGUGUGGGUAUCAAACAGGAUUAGAUACCCUGGUAGUCCACACGGUAAACGAUGAAUACUCGCUGUUUGCGAUAUACUGCAAGCGGCCAAGCGAAAGCGUUAAGUAUUCCACCUGGGGAGUACGCCGGCAACGGUGAAACUCAAAGGAAUUGACGGGGGCCCGCACAAGCGGAGGAACAUGUGGUUUAAUUCGAUGAUACGCGAGGAACCUUACCCGGGCUUAAAUUGCAGAUGAAUUACGGUGAAAGCCGUAAGCCGCAAGGCAUCUGUGAAGGUGCUGCAUGGUUGUCGUCAGCUCGUGCCGUGAGGUGUCGGCUUAAGUGCCAUAACGAGCGCAACCCUUGUUGUCAGUUACUAACAGGUUCCGCUGAGGACUCUGACAAGACUGCCAUCGUAAGAUGUGAGGAAGGUGGGGAUGACGUCAAAUCAGCACGGCCCUUACGUCCGGGGCUACACACGUGUUACAAUGGGGGGUACAGAGGGCCGCUACCACGCGAGUGGAUGCCAAUCCCCAAAACCUCUCUCAGUUCGGACUGGAGUCUGCAACCCGACUCCACGAAAGCUGGAUUCGCUAGUAAUCGCGCAUCAGCCACGGCGCGGUAAAUACGUUCCCGGGCC
rnacentral:rRNA from 1 species